GUUAGGCAUGUUGGUACACACCUGUAGUCCCAGCUACUCAGGAAACUGAGGCAGGGGGAUCACUUGAGCCCAGGAGUUUGAGGGUGCAGUGAGCUAGGAUCGUGCCACUGCACUCCAGCCUGGGCAAAAGAGUGAGACUCUGUAUCUA
rnacentral:SRP_RNA from 2 species